rnacentral:tRNA from 1 species
UCUCGAUUGGUCUAGUGGUGAGGAUACCUGCUUGUCAUUGUAGUCCUGUCUAGUGCUGACGCUAGUGAGACACAUGAAGCAAAACGCAGGUGGCCGGGGUUCGAUUCCCCGAUCGAGAG